GGAACCCAGGCACCAGGGGCGCAGGGGGACUGCCAAAGGAAAGGGAAGCAUGGGGACAAGUGGAGAUUGUUACUCAACAAUCCUUGCUUUCCUUUGGGGUUUCACUCUGGGCUUUCGAAGUAGCUUCUAUGACACCUGCACAGCUUCUGGGCAAACAGCAAAGGCCACGGUGGUCCCACACUAACGUGCUCCCCAAGAUUUCUGCGGUGGAUAUUUUGGGUUAGGCUUAAAGAACUCAACAGGUUAACAUAGCAACAACUCCCUUCCCAGGGAAUCUGAACACGAUAGGGCCAGAGUGGUUGGCGAGGAAGAUACAGGAAUAGGCAAUGUUAAAAAAAAACAAAAAAACAGUGGAACCCGACUCAUUCAAUGCAUAGGAUGGACAGUGCUCACUGAACAAGCAGCUAUUGAUUGUUUCUUCUUAUCCUUGUUAUUCAGUGUGUGGCCCUUGGUCUUAAUUCUGUACACCGUUUAAACCUGGUGGAAAUUCUUGGGCGACCAUAACUAAAGGCAUCGCUACUUAUAAUAUAGAUAGACCAUUUCAUGCAAGACACGUGCAAGAAUAAUUUCUGGCAGAGUGAUUCCACUGAAUCAAAGAGACUGGAAUAAAAGAAAGCAAAAAAGUUUUAGGCAUGGGACAUCACCCCUUUGGUUUAUACUGGAAUAGCCUACUGAAAUAUAACAGAUUAGUUAGCAAACCCACCAUCCUGGUCUCACCUGUUCCACUCUCGGACUCAUCAGCAUCCAUAGCGGUGUCAACAUCCGUAAUCUGAAUAUCAGGCAGAGCGGACCAUCUACUGACCCCUGUGCACCCAGGUUGCAGCCAGAGUGCCAAGAGGAGGAGGAAGGAGGAGGCCGGAUCCGCUGGUUGUCAUCCUGCAUCUGCAGCCGGAUGGGCCUGCGCAAGCCCCAGGAGAUGUUCAGCAAACCCUCGACGAUAAACUCGCCUUCCUCCUGGGCAGCAAACACAAAGACACACGUCAACAUCUCAGAGCGACGAGAAAAUUGAGGCAGACAGACAGACUACAGCCAAAAAUUUCCCAAAACACUUGUCCAGUGAUUUGGGGGCACCUCAACCUAAGGCACAUGCAGAGAUUUGGGCCCGGUCUACACAAGUUUUGUUCCAGGGGGACUAGGGAUGACUGGCUGCAGUAAUCCAUCCUCACAAUCUUCUUUCAUUAGGAGCAGAGAUCUGAUUUGUGGAGGGGGAAGAUACAAGAGAAAUUUGCAUUAAUCACUGCAUCAUUUUCAUCUUAAUAUGUAAAGACUGGGCCGGAUCCAAAGCCCAGUCGACUCAGCGGGAGUUUUUCCACUGACUUCAGAGCUUUGAAUCCAUCUGUCAGCCACAUCAGACAGCAAAACAGAAAGUUCCAAUUCAAAUGAUGGACCUAAAAGCGGAAAUGUGAAAAGUCAGGUGAGGGGAAAGUAACGAGAAUCACUGCAAGUGCACAACAGUAAGCCGACCUAGGGAGACACAAUUAAUAGAAUACUUUGUAUUUCUAUUGUACCCUUCCAGAUAGGAAGGUAUUGAGCCCACGAGGUGGAUAUUAUACCCGUUUUACAGAUGAGGAGAUGAAGACACUGCACUUGGACUCUAGUGUUCUGGUUUCAAGCCCCAGCUCUACUGCAAACUCCUCGUGUGAGCUCAAGCAAUUCACUUACUCUCUGUGCCUCAGUUUCUCAUUGUGAAUGAGGAGAAUUAUCCUCUCUCUCUCAUCUAUUCAGGUUCUAAGCACUUCUGGGCUGUUCUUACUUUAUGUACGGCACCUGGAACGCUGGGGACUUUAAGUGCGAUCAUAAAAACAAACACUCACUGACUUGCUGCAAGUCGCACAGCGAGCCUUUUGGCAGAGGCAGAAAUAGAACCCAGGAGUCCUGAUCUCUCACCUUCUGCUGAUGGAUACUUGUUGAAGGUUAGGGCAAUGACCAUUUUAUUGUGCUGUGUUUGUACAGUGCCUAGCACAACAGAGUCCUGGUUCAUGACCAGAGCGCUCCUAGGUGUUACUGUAUUAAUAAUGAUAAUCAUGUUUAACCCACACAUCCAACGGUUCGAAGGGACAUCUCUUAAGUCUAACAGGCUCUGAUCAGUUACCCGGAGCUGCCAGUUACUUUCUGGGCUGGAAAUGCUAGGGGCACCUCUGAAGGUAUGUUGAAACUUCCACUCCCUGGAUUCCCACAGGUGCAAAUAGGAUGGGGGUGGCGGGAAAGAGAACUAUUUAUCAUUCGGAUCAGAUUCCAGUUUGGGUCAGUUGUUACCCACCCCUGCUCACAGUAAGGUUCCCCUCCAUCCUACCACUCGUUAUCAGGAUGAAACUUAGGAUACCUAUUAUUGUUUUGAGAAUGGCUACAACAGACACGAAAACCUCCAUCCAGUUCAGUGGUGUUUCUAAAGGAAGACUGGUGGCCAGGCAACCUUGGAUUCUACAGAUAGGAAGAAAGUUUGGAACAUGCUUUUUGACUCCACUGUAUCAGGAGAGGUGUUUUGGUUGAACCCAGUAGGGAAAAUGAUAAAUAACCAGCUUAAAAAAACAAAUACAAAGACAGCUGGCCUGAACACAAGACUCUCCUUUGACCAAUCACCAGCAGCCUGAGGUGACAUGCAUUCCCCCCCACCCCCAGAUGUAUCGACACCAAAAAUCCCCAGCCAUCAUAUUUGAACCUGCUUCUAAGGAGAAGCUUGUUUGAAUUCCCCAGUGGAAAGUCACACUGUCUUUGAUCAGCUGGGGCCCCAGUCGAGCUGUUGUGAACAUUUCACACAAAACACUCGACCACUUGAACAUUUUGGGUCCUGCCUUUCGUUUCAGUUGCAAGGGAAUAACACCAUUUCACACACAAAGAACCGCCUAUUUCCCCCAUAUACACUUGGGGGGGAAAAAAUCAUGUUUUGUUUUCAGCCUGAUUUCACUCCCCUAAAAAAAAAAAAAAAAAAAAACCUACAUUUUAUAAACUUUCAACUUUCAGA